CUAAUUCAUAAAUAAGAAGGAUAAGGGCGGAUGUAGCCAAG
rnacentral:tRNA from 1 species